AGCACUUUUAAAAUCGGUUAAAUUUUGACCGAUCUUAAAAGUACUUUUAAGAUCGGUUAAAAUUUAACCAAUUUUAAAAGUGUU
rnacentral:miRNA from 1 species